UGGAGAAAGUUUUAUUGCAGGACCAAGCAAGGAGGAGGGGGUGGCUCACGCCCAAGAAAACCCUGAACUCCCUGAAGGGUUUCAGCAAAGCAUAUUUAAAGGCCAGGCCUGUGAGUCUGUUUUUCACUAUGGAGAUCCCAGGACAUAAGAAGAAAGAUCCAAGGCUGCAUCAAAAUGAACAUUUUUUACUCUAGGGCAGUGGAUCCAAAACCAAUCGCACAGGAUGGAGCCUGGAGCAGCACAUGUGAAAAAGCCCUGAGGGUUUGCUUCCUGAAAACUCAAAACAGGACCCCCUAGGGGUAAAAGCCUCUGUAUCUUGUGGAUGGAUCCUCAGAAGCAUACAGUCCAAAAUGCUGUCUCUGAUUCUCAGAUUUCCCCCCACCCCCACCCCCGGAGGAUUAAAAGGGAUAGGAGUGGGCUAGAUUUAAGUGGGGGUGGAGGUCGGGGCUGGAAACCAGUGUCCUGGCGGCAUAGGAGGGAUGAAAGGCAUUUAACUUGAAGAUCUGUGGACUCAGGAGACAUAAACCAUAGGCUUCUCAUCGAGCGUGGGUCCUGCUUUCUGGAAAGUGCCGCUUCCAUUCAAGGUGGCAUUUUGGCUUUGGUAAAGGGCCCAAGCAGACAUCCCUUUUUUUUUUUUGUCCAGUCAGGAAGCAGGACACCAAUAGCAAGAGCAAUUGCUCAAGAUGUGAGCAUUGGACCAGUCCUCAGAAUCUCUGCUGCUCCCUCCUGCUGUCUUCCUGAUGGGGAAACUGAAGGCCAGGCUGAGAAGUGAUUCACCUAAAACCAAGUAACAAGUCAGGGGCAGGACUAAGGUCUGGAGCCCACACCUGCUGCUUCCCAGCACAAGGUCUCAGCUACCUCCUGAGAGGGGACCUUGAUUCUUGCCAUCACUUCAAAUACUGCCUUGGCUAUUGAUGGAGAGCUGGCAGCAGGGAACCAUUUCGGUGACUCCAGGAGGAAAGUUCUUGGGAAACAUUUGCUCCUCUGGGACUGGGUUUCCUUAUCUUCCAGCCCUCAGAAAUCAGCAUGAAAUCGACACGGCUGCCUCAAAAUAGUUCAACAAAGAGCAUCUUAGUCCCAAAGGCCUGGGUUUCUCAGGGGCACCAGAGGAGUCAGAUGCCCACUCCAGCCACUCUCUCAACCCUAGAUACUAGA